AGAAAUACAUGGCAGACAAGUAAAAUAUAUGAACUGCUUUUUUUCUACCUAAUUGGCUAAUUGGCAACUUUUGUCCACUCAGCCCUCCCAAAGCUUCCAAGAUGCAUAGUCGAAAUGUAUUUUUAAUACAAAUAUAUUUUACCUUUUUGUGAAGACUUUAUUCAUGUCUGUUUCACCUAAACUUGACAAAUAUUGGAAGGCUAAAAGUAAAGAAAACUUGCAGUGCAAAUGGAAAAGAAAUUAUAUUUUUGAGGUACAAAAUUUUUCCAGGAAGUACCAUCAUAUUUGAACUAGAAAUAGUCUCAAACCAAAUCAAUCGCCACCAGAUUCAAACAUAUGUGAAAUUUGAGGAAAUCCAGAUCUCUCUUGUCUUUUAUAUCUGUGGUAGAACUUAACCACAAAUCUACCACCAGUUCUGGAUGAAAUUUGACCUAUUUAGAACAGAUCCAAAGCAGAGUUGAUCAUUGCAAUUCCAGGUACAUUAUACUUGAACAAAAUCUCAAAAUCUGUGGAACAUAGCAGUUACAUCAUACAUAAUGUAUCUUUAAGCAAUAUGAACUGCAGGUGAGUGCAGAUAUUCUUGAGAUAGCUUUAAGGUAGGUAAUUCUGGCAAUUUAGCUUCAGGAGCUCAGCAUUAGCUAGCUGUUGUUAUCUGUUCCAAAGUGAGUUUUGCAUGCCAUGCUGAGCUUCUUGAUGCCUUUUCCAGUCAGACAGCAGGCAUCAUAUGAGGUAAUUUAAAGUUAUCUGCAGUAUGCAACAUAGCUGUCAUGCAGACAUAUUAGUGGACUUUAUGCAAUCUUUUGCUACUGACAUGUUCUGCUAGCUGGUAUUGGUAAAAUGGACUUAUGUGCCUUGAUGCUACUAGCAGAAAGCAUUUUUUUGUGCUUUGCCGAGCAAAAGGACAAUGGUAACUUCUUCCUGCAGCAGUCACGGAGCACAGAGAAAAAAUCAGUUUCAUUUGCAGCAAGGAAGGGCUGGUUAGGCUCUUCAGGGUGCGCUUUAGUUUACUUGGUUUUGUUUAGAACAGCAAGCUGCAUUAAAACAGGAUAGGCAGCCUGUGGCUUUUGAGAUACAUGUACUCACCAAACAAUUCCAGUGCAAUUGCUAUGCUAAAGCUUUCUGUUGGCUUGUGUUGCUAUGGGAAGGACAGGUAAACUGAGCCUCAAGAGUGGCUGUAUUGAGAUUACCUGUGACCUAGCUCACAUUAUCUCCUACUGAAGUGGUCAGGCCCAGAGCACACCUCUGCUAUUUGCUAUGUAUAAGUCCUCUUAAGAACCCCUUCAGACAAUCAGUCUGCACGGUACAUGUAUUUGAUUUUGGCAGGGAGAUGUUAGGAUCAAUAAAAAUCUUUGGAGACCUUUUCCUACUGUUUCUAUGCUGGCUAGUUCCUACAAAACUAUAUUUGCCUAUCUUAAAAAAAAAAAAAAAAAAAUCUUCAGAAGCAUUAAAGCAACUAAGCAAUAAAGAUCAAGGAUCUGAUCCAGACUGUGGAAAAAUGCUUGGAGACGAGGCUGAAAUCUCCAGCUCAGUAAAAUUUUUAUUUGUACUUGCUAGUGUUCUCUCCUUCCCUGCACACCGUUAUUUAUCUCUUACCUUGAGCCACAUAUAUUGUGGCAUUAUGAGAAAUAUUUUCCAAAAGAACUAUAGCAUCUCCUUGGGAUGAUGGCUCUUACUAAAAAGAUUCUUUUGUUCACUAAGUAACACACCAAGUGUCAUCUAUUUUCCUGUAACAGUUUGCUUUUUUUUUUUUUUUUUUUAAGAUGGCUGUCUUUUCACAAUCAGAAUUAGAAACUAAUUAUAUUCAGUUAUUCAGACCUUGCAAAGAAAGAACUAAGAUUGUCAAACGUACGGCUUUGCUUUCUCCCUGUUUGAAAAGUGGACUGAAGUACAAAUGCUGCAUUGUGCCUGCUACUCUCAAGAGUACGUGAAUGAUACUUACAUAUAUGCAUGCAUACAUAUAUAAAUAUAAAUAGUUUAUAUAUAUAAUGCAUAUAUAGUGUUUGCAAUGUUCCAGUGAUAUCAAGACAUUCAGUAGAGUAUAUUAAAAUGGUUUUGUUUUUAGUCCAUUUAGUCAUUGCAUUGAAGGCAAAGAUUAUAUACCAAGAUUAUUUUUUCAUCUUUUGAAAAGUCAAUAGUAAAUCUUCAAUUAUAAUCUCACUCUCUUUAUUGGGGCUAUUAUUGUCAGUAAAAGCCCUCAUAUGUUUUUGCAGGAUGGCAUCUAUAUUUGUCCUGGGGAAACAUGACUAGCCAUGAGUGUGAUAUCAGUAUAGUUAUGUCCUUAGAAAUUCAUUUUGCUUGUUAUUAUAGAGAAAGACAAAGAAGAACAAAACUUUGGGAGAGUUUCCGUUAUUAAAUAUUUACCAUUUCAGGUCCAGAGUCAAGAAAGUACAGAAACUUUUGGGUUGCAGUUCCUUGUACUCAAGACUCCCACUGAAGACAAUAGGAUUUAGGGCCUACCACAGCACAUUGCAUCAACCUUGCAGGUUAUAGGCCUACUUUCCAAUUUGAAAUCCUAUAAUCAAAGCCCACAAGCAGACCCCAUCUGGAAAGAAAUUGGAGGUGAAGAAGACAUGUGGAUAGCAUCUCCAGAGGAGAGGUGUAAGACACAAAGAAUACGAAUGCCUAUGCUUCAUUUUACAGAAAAGGAAUGUCUAAUUGGGCAAGUCCUUACAAAAACUCUGAAACAUUCUGCUGACAUCUGUAUUUCAUAUUCCACAGUUCUGCCCCUUUACCAACACCUACUGAGACCAAGGAGAAGUCAUAAAGCCUAUCUCAUCCAUUGACAUGGGGCCCAAUUGUCUGCCAUAUAACUUCAAAUUCUUUAAGGAGAGCAGUGCAACAUGACUGACUUACUUGUAAAACAAAUACAAAUUAAAAAAAAAUCCCUCAAGCCAAAAAGAGCUGGACAAAUGACAGGGAGAAGAUAAAGCUAAUAAAUAAAGCAAAGAAAAAAAUAAAAAGGAUAUUAGUUUGGGAGGUUACAAAUGUAAUAAAUGCAUUAUUUAUAAAAACAAAGCUAACAAAUGAAAAAUACUAACAAACAAAAAGAAUUUUAGUGAAGAAAUCACUUAGGAAGUUUUACUUCAAGCAAUGUAAUAUAACUCAAAUACAGAACUCUUGGGGGAACUUCAUGUAACUCUUAUUCAGAGCUAUAAGUAACACCACAAUUUGGACACAAACAGGAAAAACCAUACUGUCAACUUUUGGUAGUGCUAGAAUCCUUUCAACCUGCUAGAGUAAAUAUGACUGGCAAGCACAGAGACAAGAUUAGAGGUGAGUCUGUUGAUCUAAAAAUACAAAGAAUGUAUAUGGCAUUUUAUAGUGCUGCGAAAGAGAAUCUGAAAUAGUUAGUCUUGCUUUUUCCUCACUUUCAGGAUGUCUAACAUAUGUCUUCAGUAGUCAGCUGUUUUUAAAUGUUAGAUAUACCAGAUGACUUAAGCCACUCAUUCACCAUGAGUGCCUUUUAAAGAUGUGAUUGGACUACGAAUUUAUUAUUAAUAACUAUACAGGAGGUGAUGUUCUCUGAGCACUGGAGAUUUCCUGGAUGACAGGAAAGUAGUCACAGAAAUUAUGUGUAUGUACAAAAAAACACCAGUGAAGAUGAGAGUGCAUUUUGAAAUGAAAAUGAAAAAAAAAAAAAAAAGAUUGGAAGCAGAAGACAGAACCAAGAAGGAUGACUAUGUUUUUGGCCAUAUUAGUAACACAAGUUAUAGGAAUACAAAGAGAAUUUUGGUGGGACUGCUAAAUGAUGUGAUAUUUUCAGUCAGACACACAAAUAAUUUAAAAUGAAGGAAGCUAAAAAGUCCUAUUUGAUGCCUACUUGCCCUUGGGUUCUGCAGAGGAACAUUUUGUGUUCAGAAGAGGACAGUCCUGUUUUAGAGAAUGACUCAGCUCCCAGGACAGUAUCCUUUGUGAGUUUUCCUCAUGCAUGUGUUGAAACAGAUGCCAACAUAGCAGUUACUGCGGAGACAGCUAAGGAGUGCAUAGGCAAAGAAGCAACAGAUAAUUCAUGAGCUGUAAGAGCAAUUCUUUUUUUUUUAACUGUGUGCAGUUCAAACACAAGUAGAAAAAAGAAUAAAUAAUUCUAAAAAUCUGAUCAAUAAGCUUAUCAAAGAAGAAAUCUCUGUUUGCUAUAAGAGAUGGAACCAAAGCAAAACAAACACAGGAGGAUUGCUAAACAAUUAUUUAAUAAUAUUUAGUAAAAUAGUUUUCCUGAGUAAGAAUGAAGGAAUUACUUCAUUACUACCUACUUCAAUAUUAAGUAUUCAGGAAACAAAAAUGUGGCUCAUUAACCUGAAUAUCCUUAGAAACUCAGAAAUACGGAAGAAGAUACUCAAGCCUGGAUAACUAAGAUAACUGUUAAUAAUAAUCUUUGCUUAUUUUAUCUUCUGUAGGAAGCAGAGAACAACAACCAAUUCCUUCCAAAUGCAGGCAUACUGUCAGCUGCACAUUGCAUAGCUCUGCUUUAACUAUAUUUGUUUUUAUUAUGAUAUAUGCAUAUAUGAAAAGGGAAAGCUAUGCUACUUUUGUUUUAACUUAACUGCCAUGGCUGAAUCUAAAAACAGGCAUAAAAUAUGAAUCUAAGUAAUACGAAAAUAAAUCCAAUUUAAAGGUGUCUCCAUCUUUAAUCAAGAGAAACCCUGUUUCUCUGGGUGAGGAUGGAUGUACUUCCUACUGUUGUCAUCAUGAUUAAUAGAUCACCAAUGUAUGAAUGUCUGUGUCCCUAACACAAAUAUAUAUGUAUGUGUAAGGAUGAAACUUUCUAUAUUUAGAAAAUACAGAGUUUUGAGUGCACCAAGAUGAAAAGGUGAAUCAAUGAGGUAUAAAAAUAUUUCCUAUGGCAAACUGUAUUUUAAAAGAUUGCAUACUUUUAAGUACAGCUCUGUAACAUGGGGAUUGGGAAGACUGCACCUUCAUAUAUUGUACUGGGGAUACUUUAAGACAUCUAGAAUAGGUUAGAAAUCAGGAGUCCCUUAGCUAUGGCCUUACCAAAAUAUUACAUAUAUGUACUAUAUGUAAACUUGUUUCAAGUAUCAACUUAUUGAUACUUCUUGAACUUCUUGCUCUUUUUUGUUUUCAAGAAGCUAAUUAGGUAACUUUGGAGAUGUGUAACUAUGAGAUUGUUGGGGUUGGAGAUGUGCAUCUAUGGACGACUGAAUAUGACAGAAGGUUCUCAAUAGUCUCUUCAGGCAGAUGCCAGAAAACAACAGCUCCAGAUAUGCAUUAAAUGUGUAAGGGUAGUAGUUUUCAAUCUUUUGACAAGUGUUGAGAUCAACAUUUGGGCAAUAUUUGACUACGAAAUUGCUUCAACCAUUUUGUCUUUUUCUAUGUAGAAUUCAGUUGUGUUUGUAUACAUACUCUAUGUCCAGAGGUCACUGCGAACUAUCCCGUAGUGCAUAAUGUGCCUGAUAAUAGAUACAUAUGUAAUAUAAAGAUAAGAAUUACAUCAUAACCUUAAAAGUAACACCGUGGUCUCCUACAAUUUCAGAAACCUGAGCUUAGCUUUACACCCUACAGUAAUUUUUAACAGUUUUGGUGAUUGUGCAGUGGUUGUACAUCAUUAUGAAGAAUCAAGGAUUACCCUCAGAUCUUUUGGGGUUAUAAUCAAGCAAGCUAGAUAGGAGAAAAUGAUUGUCUUCAAGAGCUGUUACUUGGUCCUAAUGAGAAGCCUGAAUCACAAGAGUAUUUGUGACAUUUUUGCUGGACUCAGGGAAUGACUAGCCUGUAUUUAGCAGACUAUCAAAAGAGGAAAUUGUAUUCUGGUAAAUGUGAUUUUUGCCAUUGCUAGGAAAAGGCAAUAGGCCUGACAGUGCAGGGUCUUAGGACCUGUCUGGGCUGGCUUGCCUUGGACAGAGUUUGAUGUAAUACGUUUCUAGUAGCUGAGUGACUAUUGCUGAAACUCUGUGAGGGUGCCCUGGGGACAAGGCUCUGACACCCCUGGUUAGUGCCUGUGUGACAAACAACUGCCCUUAACAUUGUUCAAGGCUGGGAGAGGCUGUUGUGCAGUUUUCAGACUUCAGCGGGUAACCUAAGGACUUAGGAGGAAGAGCUGUCCCCUCUUCCCAAACAUCAUACCACUUGCAGCAAAGACCUCAGGGGGCUGAUGCUCUGCCAUAACACGAGCCCUUCCCACACCUUCUCAAGGAAGACCUAAACUGUCAACCAUAGGACCUAAAGGCAUGUUGGAAAGGUGAGCAUAACAUUAAGAGAAAAGGGACAGGUAUUAGGAAGUUUUUUGUAUAACAAUUUUAACUGUCUUAUUAUUUUUUUCUGUAUUAAUCACAUAAUUUGGACUAUUAGAUUGUUAAAAACAUUUAUUGGUCUAAUGGUAGAUUCUUAGUUCCAUAUAUAUGGUUCCCUUUUGUCUGUAACAAGAUUUUGAGUGUAACACCAAGGAACGUUAUCUCCCUGCCCAUUUUUCUGCUCACUCAAAAUACCAUUGGUGGUGACUGAGAACCAAUUCAAUGAACUGGUACUGAUGUUUGGCUGUUAAAAAUUAAACCACAACUCAUCACUGUAAUAAAGACAAGAUCCAGAAGACUGUCUGCAUAAAGCAUUUGGGACUUCAAGAAGUUCUGUACUUCACACGCAAUUUUCACAGCAUUGAACACCUUGGUGAACUCAAUAUAUACAGAAUCUUAAAUCCUGGAACGCAAUUUCAUUGGGUUUUUUUGAAGAUUAAAUAGUUGUACAAAUAUUAAUGAACUGA